UACAGAGGGGGCAAGCGUUGUUCGGAAUUACUGGGCGUAAAGGGCGCGUAGGCGGCCCGCUAAGUCGAACGUGAAAUCCCCAGGCUUAACCUGGGAACUGCGUCCGAUACUGGUGGGCUUGAAUCCGGGAGAGGGAUGUGGAAUUCCAGGUGUAGCGGUGAAAUGCGUAGAUAUCUACUGGAACGCCGAGUGGUGAAGACGCUCGGCUGGGGCCUGUCCUGACGCUGAGGCACGAAAGCGUGGGGAGCAAACAGG
rnacentral:rRNA from 1 species